GAUGAACGCUGGCGGCGUGCCUAAUACAUGCAAGUCGAGCGAACAGACGAGGAGCUUGCUCCUCUGACGUUAGCGGCGGACGGGGGAGUAACACGUGGAUAACCUACCUAUAAGACUGGGAUAACUUCGGGAAACCGGAGCUAAUACCGGAUAAUAUAUUGAACCGCAUGGUUCAAUAGUGAAAGACGGGUUUGCUGUCACUUAUAGAUGGAUCCGCGCCGCAUUAGCUAGUUGGUAAGGUAACGGCUUACCAAGGCAACGAUGCGUAGCCGACCUGAGAGGGUGAUCGGCCACACUGGAACUGAGACACGGUCCAGACUCCUACGGGAGGCAGCAGUAGGGAAUCUUCCGCAAUGGGCGAAAGCCUGACGGAGCAACGCCGCGUGAGUGAUGAAGGUCUUCGGAUCGUAAAACUCUGUUAUUAGGGAAGAACAAAUGUGUAAGUAACUAUGCACGUCUUGACGGUACCUAAUCAGAAAGCCACGGCUAACUACGUG
rnacentral:rRNA from 1 species